rnacentral:rRNA from 1 species
AUUGAACGCUGGCGGCAGGCCUAACACAUGCAAGUCGAGCGGAUGAAGGGAGCUUGCUCCUGGAUUCAGCGGCGGACGGGUGAGUAAUGCCUAGGAAUCUGCCUGGUAGUGGGGGAUAACGUCCGGAAACGGGCGCUAAUACCGCAUACGUCCUGAGGGAGAAAGUGGGGGAGCUUCGGACCUCACGCUAUCAGAUGAGCCUAGGUCGGAUUAGCUAGUUGGUGGGGUAAAGGCCUACCAAGGCGACGAUCCGUAACUGGUCUGAGAGGAUGAGCAGUCACACUGGAACUGAGACACGGUCCAGACUCCUACGGGAGGCAGCAGUGGGGAAUAUUGGACAAUGGGCGAAAGCCUGAUCCAGCCAUGCCGCGUGUGUGAAGAAGGUCUUCGGAUUGUAAAGCACUUUAAGUUGGGAAGAAGGCCAGUACGUUAAUACCUUCCUGUUUUGACGUUACCAACAGAAUAAGCACCGGCUAACUACGUG